GACGAACGCUGGCGGCGUGCUUAACACAUGCAAGUCGAACGAAGUGGCGAACGGGUGAGUACUACGUGGGGAACCUGCCCUCCUUUUUGGGAUAAGCCUUGGAAACGGGGUGUAAUACCGAAUAAGGGGGGAUGGGGUCGCGGACUAUCAGCUUGUUGGUGGGGUGAUGGACUACCAAGGCGGUGCCGGGUAGCGCGGCUGAGAGGGUGACCGGCCACAUUGGGACGGAGAUACGGCCCAGACUCCUACGGGAUGCAGCAGUGGGGGAUAUUGCACAAUGGGCGAAAUCCUGAUGCAGCGACGCCGCGUGGGGGAUUAAGGCUUUCGGGUUGUAAACCUCGUUCGCUAUCGAGCGGGUAGGUGGAGAAGAAGCGCCGGCUAACUACGUGCCAGCAGCCGCGGUAAUAC
rnacentral:rRNA from 1 species